rnacentral:rRNA from 1 species
GAUGAACGCUGGCGGCGUGCCUAAUACAUGCAAGUCGAGCGAACGGACGAGAAGCUUGCUUUUCUGAUGUUAUCGGCGGACGGGUGAGUAACACGUGGAUAACCUACCUAUAAGACUGGGAUAACUUCGGGAAACCGGAUCUAAUACCGGAUAAUAUUUUGAACCGCAUGGUUCAAAAGUGAAAGACGGUCUUGCUGUCACUUAUAGAUGGAUCCGCGCUGCAUUAGCUAGUUGGUAAGGUAACGGCUUACCAAGGCAACGAUUCAUAGCCGACCUGAGAGGGUGAUGGGCCAAACUGGAACUGAGACACGGCCCAGACUCCUACGGGAGGCAGAAGUAGGGAAUCUUCCGCAAUGGGCGAAAGCCUGACGGGGAACCGCCGCGUGAGUGAUGAAGGUCUUCGGAUCGUAAAACUCUGUUAUUAGGGAAGAACAUAUGUGUAAGUAACUGUGCACAUCUUGACGGUACCUAAUCAGAAAGCCACGGCUAACUACGUG